rnacentral:rRNA from 1 species
AUUGAACGCUGGCGGCAUGCCUUACACAUGCAAGUCGAACGGUAACAGGUCUUUCGGGAUGCUGACGAGUGGCGAACGGGUGAGUAAUACAUCGGAACGUGCCUAGUAGUGGGGGAUAACUACUCGAAAGAGUGGCUAAUACCGCAUGAGAUCUAUGGAUGAAAGCCGGGGACCUUUGGGCCUUGUGCUACUAGAGCGGCCGAUGGCAGAUUAGGUAGUUGGUGGGAUAAAAGCUUACCAAGCCUACGAUCUGUAGCUGGUCUGAGAGGACGAUCAGCCACACUGGGACUGAGACACGGCCCAGACUCCUACGGGAGGCAGCAGUGGGGAAUUUUGGACAAUGGGCGCAAGCCUGAUCCAGCAAUGCCGCGUGCAGGAUGAAGGCCUUCGGGUUGUAAACUGCUUUUGUACGGAACGAAAAGUCUUGGGUUAAUACCCUGGGAUCAUGACGGUACCGUAAGAAUAAGCACCGGCUAACUACGUG